AACGAACGCUGGCGGCGUGCCUAACACAUGCAAGUCUAACGAGAAAGUCCUCUUCGGAGGGCGAGUAAAGUGGCGAACGGGUGAGUAACACGUGGGCAAUCUGCCCUCGGGACCGGGAUAACAUUGCGAAAGCGGUGCUAAUACCGGAUAAGACCACGCUGUCCACGGACAGUGCGGUAAAAGGUGGCCUCUCCAUGGAAGCUAUCACCUGAGGAUGGGCCCGCGGCCUAUUAGCUUGUUGGUGGGUAACGGCCCACCAAGGCGACGAUGGGUAUCCGGCUUGAGAGGGUGAACGGACACACUGGCACUGAGACACGGGCCAGACUCCUACGGGAGGCAGCAGUGGGGAAUUUUGCGCAAUGGGGGAAACCCUGACGCAGCAACGCCGCGUGAGUGAUGAAGGUCUUCGGAUCGUAAAGCUCUUUUAGUGGGGAAGAAACAUCCUGGGGAUAAUACUCCCAGGACUUGACGGUACCCACAGAAAAAGUUCCGGCUAACUACGUG
rnacentral:rRNA from 1 species